GACGAACGCUGGCGGCGUGGAUUAGGCAUGCAAGUCGAACGGUAUCAUCCUUUCGGGGGUGAGAGAGUGGCGAACUGGUGAGUAACACGUAGGUUAUCUACCCUCAAGACGGGGACAACCCAGGGAAACUUGGGCUAAUACCGGAUGUGAGCAACUUUUAGUUGUUUGAAAGGUGGCGUAAGCUGUCGCUUGGGGAUGAGCCUGCGUCCUAUUAGUUAGUUGGUGAGGUAACGGCUCACCUAGGCAAUGAUAGGUAGGCGGCCUUAACGGGUGGUCGCCCACACUGGGAUUGAGAUACGGCCCAGACUCCUACGGGAGGCAGCAGUCGAGAAUAGUCUACAAUGGUCGGAAGACUGAUAGUGCGACGCCGCGUGAACGAUGAAUCCCUUCGGGGUGUAAAAGUUCUUUUAUAUGUGAGCAGUGCUUCUUAUAUUAACAGUAUGGGGAGAGAGAUAUUAGCAUAUGAAUAAAGCAAACGGCUAAACUCCGUGCCAGCAGCCGCGGUAAAA
rnacentral:rRNA from 1 species